UGUGUAGGCGGUCCUCUAAGUUUGGUGUGAAAUCUCCCGGCUCAACUGGGAGGGUGCGCCGAAGACUGGAGGGCUAGAGUGCGGGAUGGGAGAGUGGAAUUCCUGGUGUAGCGGUGAAAUGCGUAGAUAUCAGGAGGAACACCUGUGGUGUAGACGGCUCUCUGGACCGCAACUGACGCUGAGACACGAAAGCGUGGGUAGCAAACA
rnacentral:rRNA from 1 species